UAAGGUGAAACCGCGAAUGGCUCAUUAAAUCAGUUAUGGUUCAUUANAUUGUACCCACAUUUACUUGGAUAACUGUGGUAAUUCUAGAGCUAAUACAUGCAACACAGAGUCCCGACCAGUGAUGGGAGGGACGCUUUUAUUAGAUCAAAACCAAUCGGUGGCGGGUAGGCUCGCCCAUCCGUCCAUCGUUUAUUUUGGUGACUCUGAAUAACUUUGUGCUGAUCGCACGGUCCUAGCACCGGCGACGCAUCUUUCAAAUGUCUGCCUUAUCAACUGUCGAUGGUNGGUUCUGCNCCUACNAUGGUUGUAACGGGUAACGGGGAAUCAGGGUUCGAUUCCGGAGAGGGAGCCUGANAAA
rnacentral:rRNA from 1 species